rnacentral:rRNA from 1 species
UACGGAGGGUGCAAGCGUUAUCCGGAUUUACUGGGUUUAAAGGGUGUGUAGGCGGGUCUUUAAGUCAGUGGUGGAAUCUCCGAGCUCAACUUGGAAACUGCCAUUGAUACUAUUGAUCUUGAAUUCUGUUGAGGUUGGCGGAAUAAGUCAUGUAGCGGUGAAAUGCAUAGAUAUGACUUAGAACACCGAUUGCGAAGGCAGCUAACUAAGCAGAUAUUGACGCUGAGGCACGAAAGCGUGGGGAUCAAACAGG